rnacentral:rRNA from 1 species
AUACGGAGGAUCCGAGCGUUAUCCGGAUUUAUUGGGUUUAAAGGGUGCGCAGGCGGCCAUUUAAGUCAGCGGUUAAAUCGUGGGGCUCAACCCCAUUCUGCCGUUGAUACUGGGUGGCUUGAUUGCGGUCGAGGUUGGCGGAAUUCGUUGUGUAGCGGUGAAAUGCAUAGAUAUGACGAAGAACACCGAUUGCGUGGGCAGCUGACCAGACCGCAAAUGACGCUCAUGCACGAAAGUGCGGGGAUCGAACAGGAUUAGAUACCCUGGUAGUCCGCACAGUAAACGAUGAAUACUUGUUUUCGGCGAUAUAAUGUCGGAGGCAAAGCGAAAGCGAUAAGUAUUCCACCUGGGGAGUACGCCGGCAACGGUGAAACUCAAAGGAAUUGACGGGG